AACUUUCAACCAGAAGUGGUGGCUUUAAAUAUACCUAGCACUUGAGGGAUAAGAGAUUAUUGUCAAUUUCUGACAGCCAAUUAGUUAGACCAUAUAAUUCCUUAUAUAUUGGCAGUUUUGCAGCUGCAUUAUUCUAAACCUUAUUGUUUGAGGGCUCUAGAAACUCAACAGGAGAUUUCUGUUACAGACAUCACCUAGGCUUGUGGAUGACUCAAUACUGGAAAACAAGAAUGUCAAAGUAGUGUCUUGUGGAGCUCGUCAUAGUGCCAUAAUGACAGAGGAUAGCAAAGUGUAUAGCUGGGGAUGGAACAAGUAUGGUCAGCUUGGCCUAAGUGAUACAAUUGACCGUAACAAUCCUUGUGAAGUACCCAUCGAUGAUUGUACACCAAAAAAUGUAGCGUGUGGGUGGUGGCACACACUAUUACUUGCUCAAAGCCAUCAGUGAUCUGCCCAGUAUUUGGAGAGAACUUCUGUUGUUUAAGUAACCCACUGACAGUGAAUUUGCACAAGAUCAGGGAGUGGCAUGUGGUCACCUGGAUCUAUCAUAAGUCUCAGGUCCACUUUAAGGAUUCCAGAGACAUUUGGAGACAAUUUUUUUAGAGUUGCAGUAUUUGUUGAACCAAUGUACAGUAUGUUGAAUGUAGCAUAUAUUUAACUGAACCUAUUCUCUUCGAGUUUAAAUCUGAUGUAUUUCAUAGUUUCAACAGACUUAUUUUAUGAAGCUCUUUAUCCUCUUUCGGUAUA